UACAGAGGGGGCAAGCGUUAUUCGGAAUUAUUGGGCGUAAAGGGCGCGUAGGCGGUUCUUCAAGUCUCUCGUGAAAUCCCUCGGCUUAACUGAGGACGUGCGGGAGAUACUGAAGGGCUUGAGUCCGGAAGAGGGUGGUGGAAUUCCCAGUGUAGCGGUGAAAUGCGUAGAUAUUGGGAGGAACACCGAUGGCGAAGGCAGGUCUCUGGGCAUUAACUGACGCUGAGGAGCGAAAGCAUGGGGAGCGAACAGG
rnacentral:rRNA from 1 species